rnacentral:rRNA from 1 species
AGCUUGUGGGAUGGAUCAGUGGCGAACGGGUGAGUAACACGUGAGCAACCUGCCCUCCACUUCGGGAUAAGCCUUGGAAACGGGGUCUAAUACCGGAUAUGAGCUCCUGUCGCAUGGCAGGUGUUGGAAAGUUUUUCGGUGGGGGAUGGGCUCGCGGCCUAUCAGCUUGUUGGUGGGGUGAUGGCCUACCAAGGCGUCGACGGGUAGCCGGCCUGAGAGGGCGACCGGCCACACUGGGACUGAGACACGGCCCAGACUCCUACGGGAGGCAGCAGUGGGGAAUAUUGCACAAUGGGCGAAAGCCUGAUGCAGCGACGCCGCGUGAGGGAUGACGGCCUUCGGGUUGUAAACCUCUUUCAGCAGGGAAGAAGCGCAAGUGACGGUACCUGCAGAAGAAGCGCCGGCUAACUACGUGCCA